GCAACGAGCGCAACCCCCGCCGUUAGUGCCAGCGGUUCGGCCGGGCACUCUAACGGGACUGCCCGCGAAAGCGGGAGGAAGAGGGGACGACGUCUGGUCAGCAUGGCCCUUACGGCCUGGGCGACACACGUGCUACAAUGCCCACUACAAAGCGAUGCCACCCGGCAACGGGGAGCUAAUCGCAAAAAGGUGGGCCCAGUUCGGAUUGGGGUCUGCAACCCGACCCCAUGAAGCCGGAAUCGCUAGUAAUCGCGGAUCAGCCAUGCCGCGGUGAAUACGUUCCCGGGCCUU
rnacentral:rRNA from 1 species